AGAUGGCCACUGUGGAACCGGAAACCACCCCUACUCCUAAUCCCCCGCCUACAGAAGAGAAAACAGAAUCUAACCAGGAGGUUGCUAACCCAGAACACUAUAGUAAACAUCCUUUACAGAACAGAUGGGCACUCUGGUUUUUUGAAAAUGAUAAAAGCAAAACUUGGCAAGCAAACCUUCGGCUGAUCUCUGAGCUUGAUACUGUUGAAGACCUGUGGGCUCUGUACAACCAUAUCCAGUUAUCUAGUAACUUAAUGCCUGGCUGUGGCUACUCACUCUUUAAGGAUGGCAUUAAACCUAUGUGGGAAGAUGAGAAAAACAAACGAGGAGGACGAUGGCUAAUUACACUGAACAAACAGCAGAGACGAAGUGACCUUGAUCGCUUUUGGCUAGAGACACUGCUGUGCCUUAUUGGAGAAUCUUUUGAUGACUACAGUGGUGAUGUAUGUGGAGCCUUUGUUAAUGUUCGAGCUAAGGGUGAUAAGAUAGCACUACGGACUACUGAAUGUGAAAACAGAGAUGCUGCUACACAUAUAGGGAGGGUAUACAAGGAAAGGUUAGGACUUCCUCCAAAGGUAGUGAUUGGUUAUCAGUCCCAUGCAGACACAGCUACUAAGAGGGGCUCCACCACUAAAAAUAGGUUUGUUGUUUAAGAAGAUACCUUCUGGGUAUUCUCAUAGGAGACUGCGUCAAGCAAUCGAGAUUUGGGAGCUGAACCAAAGCCUCUUCAAAAGCAGAGUGGACUGCAUUUAAAUUUGAUUUCCAUCUAAAUGUUGUAAAGAUAUAAGAGAAGUCUCAUUCACCUUUGUCUUGUACUUCUGUGUUCAUCUUUUUUUUUUUUUUUUGGCUAGAAUGUCCACUUACCCAAUCAAAGAAUUACAGUACACAUCAUCCCCAGAAUCCAUUAAUGUGUUUCUGGCCCACUCUGUAAUAGCUUAGAAGAAUUAUUAUUACAAACAUAUUUUACCCAUCCACAAUGUUAAAAAA